rnacentral:lncRNA from 1 species
UUGGUUUAGGGUUAGCUUAUGUUAGCAAGCUUAUAAUAUAAGAGAUUAUCGGUUUUUAAUUGUUUAAAUUGUGCAAUGAAAAUUGAUGGUGCUUAAUUGUCGUAUGAAAUCUUUCCUAUGAAAGUUGAUGGAGCUUAACUCUUGUGGACAUAAUUUAAAUCACAAUUGGUCUUCUAGUGCAUAUUGUAUCAAUUGACCAUUAGUUAAUAUUAAAUCUG